ACUCUGCAGUUAAGCAUGCUUGGGCUAGAGGAGUACUGUGAUGGGUGACGUCCCGAGAAGCCCUAGUGUUGUACCCU
rnacentral:rRNA from 1 species